rnacentral:rRNA from 1 species
UUUCCGGUAGGGGGCCUGCGGAAGGGUU